rnacentral:rRNA from 1 species
GAUGAACGCCGGCGGCGUGCCUAAUACAUGCAAGUCGAACGCUGGAGAUCUAGCUUGCUAGAUCGAGGAGUGGCGAACGGGUGAGUAAUACAUAAGCAACCUACCCACGAAGACUGGGAUAAUCUCUGGAAACGGGGACUAAUACCGGAUAGGUAAUCGGAAGGCAUCUUCUGGUUAUUAAAGGUUAAAAACACUGGUGGAUGGGCUUAUGGCGCAUUAGUUAGUUGGUGAGGUAACGGCCCACCAAGACGAUGAUGCGUAGCCGGCCUGAGAGGGUGAACGGCCACAUUGGGACUGAGACACGGCCCAGACUCCUACGGGAGGCAGCAGUAGGGAAUUUUCGGCAAUGGGGGCAACCCUGACCGAGCAACGCCGCGUGAGUGAAGACGGCCUUCGGGUUGUAAAGCUCUGUUGUAAGGGAAGAACGGUAGAUAGAGAAUAUCUAAGUGACGGUACCUUACCAGAAAGCCACGGCUAACUACGUGCCAGCAGCCGCGGUAAUACGUAGGUGGCGAGCGUUAUCCGGAAUUAUUGGGCGUAAAGGGUGCGUAGGCGGCCUGUUAAGUAAGUGGUUAAAUUGUUGGGCUCAACCCAAUCCAGCCACUUAAACUGGCAGGCUAGAGUAUUGGAGAGGCAAGUGGAAUUCCAUGUGUAGCGGUAAAAUGCGUAGAUAUAUGGAGGAACACCAGUGGCGAAGGCGGCUUGCUAGCCAAAGACUGACGCUCAUGCACGAAAGCGUGGGGAGCAAAUAGG